UUACUUUAUAUUUCUUAUUAUACUUUUAAUGAGAGGAUGAGGUUGCCCUAUCCUACCCGUUCGGCUAACGACCCUCCACCAAUCAAGCAAGCGGUGGGUGUGAGUGUACACCCAUUAAGCGCCAUUUUAUAGGCCGCAACCUUAUACCCACCUUAUAGAUCGGCUUCGUGAAUGAGGCCUACUAACGGUAAGACUAGCAUUUAGUUAUACAUAUAUAUAUUAUUCUAGUAAUAUCAUAUUAGUAUAGGGUUGUAUUUUAAAACUUUUAAAAUCUAGGGUUUGAAAUUUAAGUUGUCUAAAUUAAAACUUUUAAUCACAAAAGUAAAUUUCAAAACAUGAGGGUAGGUUUUAAACAUUUAAAACAUGGAGGAUCAAAUAACAAAUAAUUCCAAUUAACAAUUAAUAUCCUAAUUAUCUAUAUUUGAUUUAUUCAAGAUUUCUUUUAAAGAUAAUUACCAAAAUAAUCAAAAUAAUUAAUUAAUUAUCAUAUAAGGAAAUUAAAUAUUUAAUUAGUUGAUAAUUACCUUUAACUAGAUCAAGAUAAUAGUUAUAUUUAUCAGAAAAACGAAUUAAUGUUGAUCUAAUUAGUUUAUGGUAAGUUAAGAUAAGAUAAACACAAAGAAAUCCCGAAUCUGGCCAUUCCUGACGCCUGGACUCGCCGAGUGCACAAAGGGACUCGCCGAGUCAGGCCAACUCGUCGAGUCCAUGACUCAGAAACCCAAAAAUCGAAUUUUGCAGGUUUGUUUCAUACAAUUAAGCAAUAAUUUAAUGAAAACCAAGCUAGUCUCUGAUACCACUGAUGGGUUUUAGCCAUAAGAACUUUCCUAUGUGCGCAUGCAAAACCCUAAUGCUUGGAUCUAGGCUUUCUAAUUAAACAUGCUUUGAAUCCAAGACUUCUAAUGACUAAUUAGGUUAAAUAACAACAUUGAAACAGAUCUAGAACCAUACCUUUGAAUUCCUUGUUGACCUUGUUGUCUUGGAGCUUCUAGAGUCACAAUUGUCACUCCUCUAAUGGCUUACAAACACCAAAUAGCAAGGAGAAUGAUUUGGGAUAGAGGAGAGGGGAGGAAUUCGGCUAGAGGUUCUCUAUUCUAGAAGAAGUGCCGAAUUCCCAUAGCCAUGGGGUCUAUUUAUACUUGUAGACUCCUUAAGGGUUACAACCUAAACCCUAAUUGGAUAAUCUUCUCUUAAGGCUAUCCAAAUCCAUUCCUUAGAUAAGCCUUUGGACGAUUUUGGCUAUCCUAACACUCUUAGAAUUCGUCCAAAGCAUAUCCCAAUGGAUUUACAGUCUAAAGCUUAACUAUCAAACAAUUGACAGUUUAUACCCCUUUAUUUAAUUAAUCUCUUUAAGUCACCAAAUUAAUUCCAAUUAAUUCUAUGACUUAUAUUAACAAUAUUAUUAUUCUUUAUAAUAAUAUUUACUCUCUCUUAAUAAAUCAUCCUAUCAAGUUGCUAUGGUGAAGGCAACCCAAAAGGACCAUGCACAACUGGGUCAAAUACUUGCCUAAUAUAGUUGCAGCCUUAGACACUAUUCCCACAUUAAUCCAUUAAGAGCUACCUACACCACACAUGAGACAACCAAAGCCAUUAGGACCUCAUUUUUCUCACUCAAGACCUCUCCAAAGGUCUAAAAGCACAGCUAAUCUCAACCAACUCGCAUCAUGCAUCACUUUAGGGUUCUUGGGACAAGAAAUGGUGUCAAAACUUCAUAACACUUAGAUCUACACAAAAUAAUUGUCAAGAAAGAGACUAUAUGCCUCAAAAGGGCUCCAGAAGAUGAUGCCUUCCCAGAUCUACGAGCUCCAGCCACCCAACUCCUUCCUUGACAACUUCUUCUUUCUUCUUCUAGGCUCUCCUUUGCUAAACCAAGCUCCCGAAGGUCAAAUAUCCACAACAAUGGAAGAAGAACAACUAUUUAGGGCUUCUGAGGGUAAGAGGGCAGAUAUGGAGGAUAGGGUUGGAAGCAUUAUGCUCCUUAUAUAGUGGCUGGCCCAAAAAUUAGGGUUUCUGGACACUGGACGUACGAUGGGCGUACGCCCCCAACACCCACGUUCAUUUAGCCAAUCUACGCUGGGCGUAACCUAGAUUACGCAGGGCGUACCCAGCCAAUGACACGCAUGCACUCCAUGUAUGCCUAGGACCCUUUGCAAAAUAUUUCCUUUAGGGACCAUUAUUGACACUAUCUUCAAAGUGUCAUGACUCCUUUAUUCUAAGUCCGUUUCCGACGGACUUUAUAUCCACGAAAAGGUGGCGAGAAGCCCUACGCUUCUAGCAACACACCCCAACCCAAAACCUUCUUGAAUAGAACCCAUUGCCCAUAAAAGUCUGAAAUGCCCUUACUCAUGAUCUCGGGGAUCCAUAUAUAAUCACUUUUUGAACGGGGCGUUACAAUGAGUCUUUCUUCAAUGUUGACCAGUAUUAUCCUAUCAUUAAUGCUUUGGUAUACAAAGAUUUGCCCCAGUGUGGUUGCCAUAGUCCCCUUCAUGGAUGUCCUUCAGGACGUAUGUAGCUUUGUGAUCUUCUAAACACGUAAGGUAUAGUCCUGCCACAAAUUUUUUAUACAACUUACCUUGGAUUAUGAUGAAUCUUGAGAUUGUUCAUCUGAAUGCUCUCUCACUUUUCUCUUCCUUAGGUAUCGUGCCAUUUUGGAGGUAUUCCAUGAUGAGUUGGGUCCCGGAUCUUGAAGUUAGGGAAUGAUCUUGCAUGUUGGGAUCCUAACGUUGGACAGUUGCGUCGGGAUCUUCGAUUGUUGUAAUGUCAGUUGUCCUUCCAUGGUCGUGUGAGUAUUUAAGUUUCUUGGUAGGAUCCUUGAUUGCAGGGACUAAUCUGUGGAUUAUCGGGAUCCUGGUUUCUAGUAAGAUCCUUAAGGAAGAUCCUAGAUUGGCUAGAGCAUCUGCUUCGACAUUGUCUUCUCUAGGAACCUGGUUUAAGCUAAAUGUUUGGAAGUCUGAGGCCAGGUUUUUGAGGAUUUAGAGAUAUAGAGAUAGCUUUUCUCCUUUUACUACAUAGGAUCAAUUAAAACGGUUAGUUAGUAGUAAAGAAUCGAUGAAUACCUGAAGAUCCUUGAUUCGAAGUUGCUUGGUUAACUGUAAUCCCAUGAUUAGCGCCUCAUAUUUUUCUUCGUUGUUGGUUGUAUUGAAUUCAUAACUAAUUGUCUGGGGUACGAUGUCCCCCUGUGGCGAUUUUAGUAUGAUCCGUAAGCCAGAUCCUCUUUGGUUCGAUGCUCCAUCUGUGAACAAUGUCCAUAUUCCCAUGUUUUCCUCUUCUAGAAGUUGUUUGGCUUCUAUUUCGACUUCAACUCUUAUAUAAUAACUAAAAUUAGCCACAAAAUCUGCCAAUGCUUGGGACAUUAUGGCGGAUCUUGGUUCGUACUUUAUAUAAUACGUGAUUAGCUUCACAUACCAUUUCGCCAUUCUUCCUGACAUUUCAAGUUUUCUCAUAACAUUCUUAAUUGGAUAGUCAGUUUGUAAUAUUAUAGGGUGUGUUUCGAAAUAAUGUCUUAAUUUAGUAGAAGUUGUUACCAAUGAAAGUAUGAGCUUUUCAAGGUGAGAGUACCUGGUCUCAGGAUCUAAGAGACUUUUACUUAUAUAGUAUAUAUGAUGUUGGUUCCCAUCGAGAUCCUUGGCUAGUACAACGCUCACCGUGUUUGAGGAUAUUGAGAGGUAAAGAAGGUGUGUCUCCCUAUCUAGUAGUUUUACCAAUAGAUAUGGUGAGCUUAAAUAUUUUUAAGCUAUUGGAAAGCAUAUUCAUGCUCCUUGGUCCAUUCUAAUCUUUUGUUUUUCUUCAAGAUGUUGUAGAAAGGCUUGCAUCUUUCUUAGGAUCUUGAGAUGAACCUGUUUAGGGCUACCACUCCUAUUAAUCUCUGAAUAUCCUUUGUCGAGGUUGGUGAUUUUUGAUCAAUCCUGGCCUUGAUUUGUUAUGGGCUUGCUUCGAUUCCACUUUUGGUAACCAUACAUACCAAGAACUUUCCCGAUCUCAUCCUAAAGUGGUACUUGGAGGAAUUAAGCUUCAUGUUGUAUAUGACUAGGAUGUCAAUGGCUUCCUCAAGAUCCUUAAGGUGAUCCUCAUCUUUUUUGUAUUUGAUUACCUUGUCAUCGAUGUAGACUUCCAUUGUGUCCCCCAAUUUCUGUUUCAACAUCUUAUUCACUAAUCUUUGGUACAUUGCUCCUCCAUUUUUAAGACCAAAUGGCAUAGCAAUGUAACAAUAAAUUCAUGUUUGGGUUAUGAACGAUGUGUCAUCUUGAUCGGAUGGUUCCAUUUGGAUUUGUUGGAAUCUUGUUAAUGCGUCCAUGAACGUUCAUAAUUCGUGACCCGUUGUUGCGUCUAUCAUGGAGUCGAUGUGUGCUAAAGGUAAAGGAUCCUUGGCACAGGCCAUGUUAAGAUCUGUAUAGUCCACACACACUCUCCAUUUUCUGUUCUUCUUUUUUACCACAACCAUAUUAGCUAGCCAUCUUGGGAGCUUCACCUCCUUGAUCAUGCCAGUUUUGAGAAGUUUUUCUACUUCUUCUAGUAUAACUUGGUUUCUUUCAGAUGCAAGUUUCGUUCUUUUUUGGUGUAUUGGCCUGAAAUAUGGGUUAAUGUUAAGUUUAUGGGUUAUUAUGUUUUUGUCAAUACCUUUCAUGUCCUCAUGUCUCGAUGCAAACUAUUUGCUUCUGGCCUUGAGGAACUUGAUGGAACGGCCUUGAUUUCGUGGAUCCAUGGUCUACCUAGUAUGACAUUAUAAGAUGUUAAAGUGUCAAUCACACAAAAACGUUGCACAUAAUUUACCACUUCUAUGUAGAUUGGUAGCUUUAUCUCGCCGAUGGUGUGUUUAGUUUCUCCGUUGAAGCCAAUUAGUACUAAGGAUCUUGCAACUAUCUCAGUCUCCAAGAUGUUCAUCCUUUUUAAUGCAUCCAGGAGUAUGAUGUUAACUGAGGAUCCUCCAUCGAAGAGGAUUUUUCUAAUGAAUUGGUUGACAAUGUAGAGAGUAAUUACUAGUCUGUCGUGGUGAGGAUCCUGGACGUCCUGUCUAUCCACUUGGUCAAAGGUGAUCUCCUUUUUAUUAAUGAUCAUUGUGUUCUUCCCUGGACCAUUUUCCUUCUCCUUUUUGGAUACUUUGGCAUGUAUUUUUCUACAGAGUAGGAGGUUCCACAAAUGUCAGAGAUCAUAUUGAUCACCUCGCCGUCAGCCGGAGGGGGGGGAUCCUGGACUUUUGAGGGUCUUCUAAGGAUCCUGGUGAUUUCCUUUCUUCUCGCAAGGAUAUCUUUGAGGUAUCCUUUGCCCAUGAGGCAGCUGAUUUCCUUUCUCAGGGCUAUGCAAUCCUCCAUGACAUGGCCAAAGUCUUCAUGAUAUGCACACUAUUUGGACUUGUCCUUCCAAGUAGUAGAUUUUUCUCCUUUCCUUAGCCACCUAACUUUGUAUCCAAGAUCAUGCAUGGCAAAGAUUACACCUGAAAUGUCCACAGAAAAACAAUAGUCGAUAAUUUUAGGAAAAUCUUCCUCAUCUCCCUCAUCUUCAAGGGUGUUAACCUUAUCAUGGCCGGGUUUGUACAUUAGUUACAAUUUCAAGUUCAAUCUGGCUGGCUGGUUGGGAGUUGAGGAGAUUGGUUUGUACAAUUUCAAACCAAGUGUACGACCUGUGCCUCUUGAAGUUCGUAUAUAGGAAAGUCAACUUUCUUUUCCAAAUGUAUAAAAGUCUCAAAUACAGAAGAAAAUUUCAAUUAUUAAUAAUUAAUCAUUUCAAUUUACAAGGGUACCCAAGGAAAUUCUACUGUCUAAGAAUGAAUAGCAUNUAAGCCCCCCCCCCCUGCCAUAUUUACACACUCACCAACAAAACAGUUUUAAUUUUUGUUUCAUCUCGUCGGCAGACAAGGCUCACUGCAUUCGAACUCAUUCACAUAUUUUAAGUAAUUUUUUAGAAAUGACAACUCGUGUAGAUACUAUUUUAUUCAUUAAAGUUAUAUUUUAUUUUCUUUUGCAAGGCAGUUUCUUUCCAUGCCCGAGGAGGCUUUACAGAUGAUUGUUUUUCAGGACACUGAUCAGAAUCUUAGUCACACUCUACAAUUCGGUUUCGGAUUACAUCAUGCAGGAUUAAACAACAAAGAUAGAUCUUUGGUUGAGGAAAUUUUUGCAAACAACAAAAUUCAGGUAGGGCUUUUACUACUUUUUGAAAAAUAUCGUCAGUACCCUUGAUUGACCUGCGCUGUAAAUAAAUUAUAUGAACGUGAGUAAAUGACCAUUUUACCCUUCUGUCAAUGGAAGUUGAGAGCCAUACCUCUAUAUUUAUCCCUACUUCUCGUGAUCUCUUGAACAACAUAUUUACUCUUACUAUAUCAUCACCUAAUUGCUUAUGAAAUAUCAUUUUAUUUCUAUUUUUAUAUUAGAUCAUAUUAUUUUGCUUAUUCAAUAUGUGGAGGUCUAGUUUAACGAGUAUCAGUUUAUCAAAGAGGUUAAUUAUUGGAUCAAUAAUAUAAGUAUACCAUUUUAUUAUUUAUUAUGCACAAAAAGUAUAAAUAUAUAGAAAUAACUUUUUUACUAAGUUUACAAAUAAUAAUGUUUGAAAUAAAGUUUCAUAAAACAAUAAGUAACGAUAACUUAUGAAUAGUUUGAAAAUUACUUCAAAAUAACCUUGUGAUUAUUUACAAAAGAAUACAGGGGAGGUGGCAUAUAGAUUUUCUCUAUAUUAUUCUACAUAUUUUUAUUUAUUUAUUUAAGGUGAUGGCAAUCAAUGAGUCAUCGAGGCUGUGUGCUUCAUUUACAACGGAAAAUGUUCAUCACAUUCUUCCCCCUUCUACUUCUGACAACAACUUUUGUGCUAUGAAAAGGAAGGUAUGAUAUUUUUCUCAUAUUAUCAUGUUGUCUUUUCAUAUGAAUAUUAUAAUUUCUUGUUAUUGAAUUUUGUGUAUAUAUAUANGCUAGUGAUUGGCAGUGAGAGUGUUGCUUCUGAUCCAGCAACUUCUACUGUAUCUGCUCCAACAUAAUCAUCAGUUCAACCGAAAGGUAAAUGUAGAAUCUUAUGAAACUCAUUUACCACUUUUAUACGAAAUCAUUCAUCUAACAAUAUUAACUUUUCCGGUUAUGCUAUUUUUCGAUGACAAUCUUUGCACCUUUUCAAGGAAGUGGAAUAAAUGAUCCAACUACAACAAUGGAGGAGUUGUAUUCACUUUUGUUGAUAAUUGGUCAUGUAUUGGCAGAUGAAGGAAAAUGAGAAACUCCAUUGAUGCGGUUACACUGCUUCUGAUGCAACGUUCCAGGGAAGCAUUGCUUAGAUUUUCUGCAGAGCAUACUCAGGGAAAAGCCUUGCUCAAGAUUAUUGUGCGAAUACCACUUACAACACUCAUUUCAUAUCUUGGAGAAACUGAUUUACAUGUAUCUUUACACAUUGUUCACUAACCUUUUAGUCUUUCAUGCAAGUUUCCCUUAUAUUCAUAGAUGUAAAUAUUUAAUAUAUACAUAUCUAUGUAUAACUAUAAUAGAUAUUUUUAAAGUUCAGUUGGUAAUAUAUUUAUUUCAUGUGUCUUACAGGCUCUCACAUGUAACCUAUUUCUUAGUGGACAAAAGUUGUUCUUGAUCAAGAGUUGGGAUUGAUAUUGAAGCUAAGAGACAUGAUGAUUGGUUGGAUACAUGAAGGGUUUCAGAGCUUCUUAGGACAGCUUAAUAAUGAGUUACUUAAACAAGAAGGUGCCCCUUUAUAGCAAUGUAGGCUUAGGUUAUAUAGUUAGGGAAAACCUCUUAGUAACAAUGUACAAUCAUAUCCCUUUAAUAUCAAUGUAUUACAAAUUUUUGACAUGAUGUUAUUGGAUGAAAUUGAUUGUUUUGGUAUAUAUUUGUUUCUAUAUUUUUGUAUUAUGCGUAAAAGAGUAUCGUAAAAGCACGUCGUAUAUGCACAUCGUAAAUGGUUGCUGAAGUUUAUGACACGCAAAUGCGUGUCAUCUUCAUUUAUGACAGGGGCUUCCUUGAUACGCAUUGUGUGUCAUAAAUACGCCCGUCGUAAGGUGACGACAUGCAAAUGCGUGUCGUCUUCCUUUAUGACAGGGCCUUCCUUGAUACGCAUUGCGUGUCAUAAUUGCGCGUCGUAAAAGCGCGUCGUAAAUGCGCGUCGUCUAUAUAUGACGUGCAAAAGCGCGUCGUCUCUCUUUAUGACAAGGCCUUCCUUGACGCGCAUUUGUGCGUCGUCUGAGCAUUUUACGACGCGCAAUGAGCGUCGUAAAAGGCUGUUUUUCUAGUAGUGGAGCCUGCUAGCGUUCCAAUGGACUGUCUAUAAUAGUCUGUGUUCGUCAUCUAUACUUCGCUAGACGACUAGAUCAUCAUAAACAUCGAGGCCUCUUGUCAUUUUAUUUCAUCACACAUCAACUAUUUCAUCUACCUAUGUUUUACCAAACAUAUUUAUAGAUAUAAAAUACAUAUACAAUUUAUAUCAUUAAAAACAUGUAUAAAAUUGUUCAUCCAUCAUAAAUCUCAAGUAAACAGAUAAUAUGCACAAAUAACACGUAAUUUAUAUAAAAUACUUCAUAUCUAUGAGUAAGAUGAAAGUGACUAUGUACUCACCUGAUAAAGUGGUGAUUCCAAUUUGGACAACGUUGCGCUUCUUAACUAUAUGAUUUCCUUUGACGAAACCGGAAGGUUUGCUGGAAACCGGGCUCUACGGGGGCAGAACUUUCUGAACCAAAAAGCUCUUUUUCUCGAAGCCUUUGGGCGCUCCGGGGCAUUCUUCUAGUGCUAGGGAAGUUUCCUAAGGCUUGGGGGUUUGGGAGGUUUAGAGAGAGAGGGAAAGAAAGAAAGGGUUUAAGGUGUGAAGAAUAAGGCUAUCCUCGCACCUCUAUUUAUAAGGCCAAAGCCUCGGUUACGCAGGGCGUACCCACGGAGGUACGCUAGGCGUUCCUCGGUAUGCAGGGUGUACCCUCUUAUGUUGUGCGUUCGUACAAAUGCAUGUCACUAAUUGGAUGGAGAGACAUGGCCGAACCGAGACCUAGUGUGCGAGAACGCGGGGUGUUCUUUCCUUCUAUGCGAGGCGUUCUUGAGUAGCCUCACAAUUUCCAUUUCCAUCUUCUAAAAUUUGUAACUUUCGCAUACAAGCUCCAUUUUCGACAUUCUUUAUAUCCACACGUAGGUGGGAACGUACUCUACAACUUUCGUUUAAACUCCGUAGGCUAAUUUUGACUUUAUUUUUAAAGUUAUAUUUUUAACAGGCUUGGACAGGAAAAGUCCGUUAAAAAUUGAUAAUUUUGUCAUCUGACGUCCAUUUUUAUCUGUCUUUUAUCGUUGAGCUCGUAUUGACGAGAUCUUCGAUUCCUGUUUAGGUUGUGUCAGCUAAAAAUCGCUCAAUCUAAAAUUCGAACUCUGGGUUGCACAAUACUAUGCCAAAUCUUAGAAAAUUCAUAACUUUCUCACAGAAAUUCAAGUUUGGACAUUCUUUUUAUGCAUGCUCUCGUUUAACAUACACUACAACUUUCGUAUAGAUCGCUAAGACUAAAAAGCACUUUAUCGUAAACUCGCUUUUUACGUCACACAGCGCCUUGCCGGUUUUGUCGCAAAACUUCGACAUGUCAUAACUUCUUCGUUAUAACUCAGAUUUCGGCGUUUUUUAUAUCUCUGGAAUCCUUGUCACAAUAAUUUUCUUCAUAGAUAUUGGCGUUAUAUCUUAUUUUAUUUUUGACGCUUAUUUCCAUUCUUAAUUUAUUAUAUCUUAUAAAUAAGUAUAAUGCACAUAAAAUCAUAUAAUCCACAUAACAUUCAAAUAAUUCCUCUUCAUUACUUCAAAAUAAGUUAAAUUUGUUGACCCUAACUAUUACAUCAUCUUAUCAAUGCUUAGACUUGAAACAUGGGCGUUACAUAAUUUUUCGUCAAGUUUUGUCAAGCAGUUCGAGAAAAUAACAUGUGUUACCACCUACAUGGAGGCACUUUAGAGAGAGGGUAUAUAGAGAAAGAAAGGUCCAAUAAACCUUCAAUAACACAUAUUUUAAGUGGAUUUAUGUCGGGAACUUCUCCCAUGUACUUCCUCAAAUAACACACAUGGAAAGUGUUAUGAAUACCAUCUAGUUCUUCUGACAAUUCUAGCUUGUAGGCUUGGUUCCCAAUCCUCUGAAGAACUUUGAACGGUCCAAUAAACCUUGGACUCAACUUUCCUCUCUUCCAAAAUCUUGUAAGUCCCUUCCACGGUGAGACUUUAAGAAAAACCAAAUCUCGAACUUCGAAUGUCAUUGGUCAUCUCUUCUUGUCAGCAUAGAUCUUUUGACGAUCCUGGGCUGCUAACAUCCUUUUCCUAAUCAGUUUCAUCUUUUUAGCAGUCUAAUGGACUAUCUCGGGAACCAUAAACUGCUUUUCUCCAUCCUCAAGCCAACAAGACGGCAUACGACACUUCUGCCCAUACAAAGCUUGAUAAGGUGCCAUCAUGAUGCUCGAAUGGUAACUAUUUUUGUAGGAAAACACUACCAGGGGUAAGUGUUCAUCCCAGUUACCUUGGAAUUCUAUGGUACAUGCUCUCAGCAUAUCUUUUAGUGUUUGAAUCGUUCUUUUGCUCUGAACAUCAGUCUGCGAAUGGUAAGUUGUACUUAAACACAACUUCGUACCCAAUUCCUCUUGUAGACUCCUCCAAAGCCUUGACUUGAAACGACUAUCACGAUCUGAUACAAUCAUUAAAGGAACACCGUGAAAUCUUACUACCUCCUUCACUUAAGCAUUUACAGGCUUAUCCAUAGACCAUCUCUCAUUGGUUGUUAUAAAGUGUGUAUUUUUUGUGAACCGUUCCACGGCUACCCAGAUCAUGUCAUGACCGUUCUUCGUCCUGAGCAGUUUAGUCACAAAAUCCAUGGUGAUGUCUUCCCAAUUACCCAUGGGUGCAGAUAAUUGGUUCUAAACUCCCAUAUGGUUUCUGAUGUUGUGCCUUAACUCUCACACAGGUUACACACUCACCUACAUACUUUGCAACAUCGAGCUUCAUCGUCGGCCACCAGUAGUAGGGUUUUAUAUCCUUAUACAUUUUAGUGCUGCCGGGAUGAAUCGAUUAUAUGGUCUUGUGAGAUUCUUCCAUCAGAAGAUCCCUUACUCCUUCUGUAUUAGGUACCCAAAUCCUAUCCUGGAAUACAUUUAAUCCUUGAUUAUUCAUGCCAAAUACCAACAUUUUAUCUAAACAUUCUUCCUUUCGGUCAUUUUUCUCCAAAGCUUCUUCCUGAGCUUUCUUGAUGCUUUCCACAAUCGUUGAGACAACUUUAAUACUUGACGCACUUGGACUUUUUCUAUCCAAGUUUAAUUUUUUACUUAACGCAUAAGCUACGACAUUUGCUUUACCAGGAUGGUAAAGUAUCUCAAAGUCGUAAUCUUUGAGUAACUAUAGCCAGUGUCGUUGCCUCAUAUUCAAUUCUUUUUUAUCAAAGAGAUAAUGGAGACUUUUAUGAUCAUUGAAAAGUUUGCACUUCGUGACGUAAAUAUAAUGCAUCCAUAUCUUUAAUACGAAUACUACUGAUGCGAACUCCAUAUUGUGAGUGGGGUAGUACUUUACAUUCUCUUUCAACUAUCGAGAUGCAUACGCUAUCACCCUGUCUCUUUGGGUCAAAAAACAACCCAACCCAACUCCAGAUGCAUCACUAUAGACUGCGAAGUCUUCAACUCCGUCGAGUAAAGAAAGAAUUGGUGCUUCACACAACUUCUUCUUUAACUUCUCAAUUGCUUCUUCAUGUUUCUCACUCCAUAUAUAUGUAGCUCCUUUAUAGGUCAAAGCUGUCAAUGGAGCAGCUAUCAAAGAAAAUCCUUGGAUAAACCUUCGGUAAUAUCCAGCUAAUCCCAAAAAGCUUUGAAUCUCCAUGGAACUUUUUGGUCAUUCCUACAUUAUCACAACUUUAAUCUUUGCUAGAUCAACCAUUAUUCCUUCUUGGUUGACCACAUGACCCAAGAAUUGGACUUCUUUAAUCAAAAAUCAUAAUUGAAGAACUUUGCAUAUACUUCUCAUUCUUUAGAACGUCUAACACCUCUCAUUCUUUAGAACUUCUAACACUUCUCGUAGAUGCUUGUUAUGCUCCUAUUGACUCUUUGAGUAAACCAGAAUUUCAUCUAUGAACACUAUCAUGGAUUUAUAGAGGAAUGGUUUACAAACCUUGUUCAUCAAAUCCAUGAAUACUAAUGGGGCAUUGGUUAGUCUAAAUGACAUAACCAAUAACUCAUAGUGUUUGUAUCUCAUUCUAAAUGCGGUUUUCUCAAUAUCUUGCUCUCUCACCUUCAGCCGAUGAUAUCCUAACCUAAGAUCGAUCUUUGAGAAAUAGCUCGAACCUUGCAGUUGAUCGAACUGGUCAUCAAUCCUUGGCAAUGGGUACUUGUUCUUUACUAUUGCCUUGUUCAGCUCUUUAUAGACUAUACCAUUCUCAUGCUUCCAUCUUUCUUCUUUAUGAAUAACAUUGGAGCUCCCCAGGGUGAUGAACUAGGUCUAAUGAAACCGUUGUCCAACAACUCCAGAAGUUGUGUCAUAAGCUCCUUCAUCUUUGUUGGUGCUAAUCUGUAUGGUGCUUUCGCUAUUUGUAUUGAUCCUGGAAACAAGUCUAUUCGAAACUAUACUUGUCUGUUAGGGGCGAUCUAGGAAGAUCUUCGGGAAAGACUUCUGGAUAGUCAAACACCACUAGUAUCCUUCUUAGCAUCUAUCACAAAUGCCAUGUAUGAUGUGCAUCUUUUAGACAAACAUUUUCUGGCUUUCAUCAGGGAAAUGAUUCUAGAAUUUACUCUGCAUUUUUCCCCAUACACCAUGAAUGACUCUCUUCUAGGUGGUUUUACUCUUACGAUCUUCUUCUUGCAUAGUAUCUCGGCAUUAUUGGCGCUAAGCCAAUCCAUUCCCAAUACGAUGUCGAAACCAUUCAACUCAAUGGGUAACAGCUCCUCGUGGAAUUCAUUUUCGUUCAGGUCGAUGACGAUGUUUUUAAUGCAAUCGCUAAUAGAUAUGAAUUUGCCACUGGCAACUUCUACAAGUAAACCAUUAUCAAGUUUAUUUACAGGCAAUGCUAGUCUUUCACCAAAUUUGUGCAAUACAAAAGAGUAGUUUGCUCCUGAAUCAAACAAUAUAUUGGCAGGCAAUCCAUUUACAAGAAAGGUACCUAAAGUGACAUCUCCCGAAUCAAACAAUAUCUGGAGAGCUCUCGCCUUCGGCUUCGGUAGGACAUUGGGCCUCACUGCCUCCUUCUUCUUCGGGCAGUCUUUCGAAAUGCGUCCUUAUUCGUUUCAUCCAUAUCACACCUUCUUGUUGGAUGUGCACUUGUUUCCGUAUUGCCAUGUCCUUCCACAUUUGUAGCAAGUCACCACCUCGCUACAUUUCUCAAAGUGUUUCUUUUUACACUUCUCGCACCACUUCACUUCAUUUCCUCCUCCUUUAGAUUUCCUUGAACCAAACUUGCUCUUCUUGUUGGACCUUGCAGAUCCCUUAAAUUCAUGUUUUUGCGAACCUUAACCUUGUUGGCGGCUCUUCCCUUGAUCAUUUCGUCGACAGACUUGGCAGCCCAGAUAGCUGCCUCCAGAGUGGGUGUCUGGCGUACUAGCACUGCGUACUUAUCGGGUUUCGUCAGUUCGUCUGGAAAGAUGCGCAAUGCAAACUCCUUUUUGUCUGUGAAGGCAUUGGUGUAUUUAUCAAUGGACAUGCUUCCCAUAUUCAAUGUUAGGAAUUGGUUCUCUAGCUCAAGCAGAUUUUGGGCCGAGCAAUACUUGCGAUUAAAGUGCACCAAAAACUCUUCCUAUGUCAGCUAUAGUGGCUCAUUGGGGCUAAUGGUCUUCCCCAGAGUGUUCCACCAGCAAACAACGCCACCUCCGAACUAACGUGCUGCAUAUGUGGUAUGUAGCUUUCCCUUGCAUCCACAUGUUAUGAAGGCUAGCUCUAUCACUGAGAUCCAGUCCAUAACUCCAAUUGGAUCUUCUUUCCUAGUGAAAGUUGAUGGCUUGCAAGUUGUCAAGUCCUUAUACCUGCAUUCGUUCCUCUUGACUACUUUAUCCUGGUUGUUCCUCCUAACCACUGGAGGUUCAGCUUGACCAACGGUCCUACUAUAGUUCCCUUCUUCUGACUAUCUGCCAUUCAGUUCUUGUUGUUCAACAAGCAUCAAAGGUCCAUCCCUAUUAUUUAGCAACAUUUGUCUCGUCUCUUCCCUAUGUUCGUCCAUCAUAGCCCGAAUCAUGACUUGUACUUCAGCCAUUGUGAUUGGCUCAAGUGCAGCUUCUACUAUCGGCACCUGCUCAUUUACUUAGGGACGAGGUUGCUGAUUCCUGAUCCUAUUUGCGUUUCCGACUUCACUUCGGGUUAUUGUCAUUUCGAUAUAUACACCAAUGUAGGCGAAUUUAGAUCUUUAUUUACAAUAGACGUUUGAAUCCUCCUUAUCACUCUGAAACGUUACAUGCUAGCUCUAAUAUCAUAGUCGAACGCUUAGAUCCUGAAUACGUAAGGUUUCCACAUCCGGUCGGCAAUAGACCAUAGAUCCGAACAAAUUAUAGCAUAUAAGGCAAACAUAAAGCAUUUAGUACAUAAAAGCAUUUUAGGCAUCUUUCCUAAAAUAAACUAGUGCUCGUGUCUAAAAUGUACCAGCCACUCAUCUCACAAUCAUCACUUAGCAGUCUAAGUUUAAGUCUAGAAAUCCUACAAAUUCUUAGUUCGCUUAAACUAGUGUUCUGAUACCAACUGUGACAUCACCAAUUUCACGGCCAGAAAAGACCGAUUUGUUUAUGCUUUAUUUGAAAAUCAUAGUAUAUUUUUUAAAGAAAUAUGUUGCGAAAUUUGUUCCCAAAAAUACGAGUAAGAAUUUAUCAAGCAUUUUCGAAGAAAUGUAUUUUCAUUACAUUACAAAACUUGGGAUAUCAUCGUCAAUACAAAUCAAAAGCAUAAACCAAAAACAACAUUGGCCACAAAAACAACAUAGACCUUACAACAUUUUAUUUAUUUCUACAUGCCUAUAAUUCAUAAUCUCUCAUCAGAUCAUCACAUUCAUGCUCUUAUGUUACUACAUAUAAUACUAGAAUCUGAGUGGGUCGGAUUUGGGAGUUUGGUGAGCACAUUGGGUUCCCUACCCACAAUAAAUAAGUUUAUUAUUUUCAUAAAAUUAUUCAACCCGAUUACUCAUUCCUGUUAUCCUCACUUUACGUCCCUAAAGCAUCUAUUAUAAGGAACCUAAUCUAAAGAUUUUUCGUCGAGAUGGACAAUAUUGGUUAGGAGAUUCCUUAGUGAUACAUGUCAAAUAAGGAAACCAUAGGGGAUGGAGUAUAUCUAAUGAACACAUAUACAAUAUACACAUCAACUUUUGUAUAAUUAUUGUUAUUAUUAUUAUUAUUUGAUAUAUUUAUGUAUGAUCGAAAGAUCAAAAGUAUAUUUUAGUUAUUUAUUUAUUUGCGUACUUUUGAAUUUGGAUUGAUCAACAUAGGGGUACUCAAUAAAAUGAUUUUUUUGGGGGGAUUUAUGAGUUUGACAUGAAAGAAAAGAAAAAAAAAACUUACUGCUUUUUCUUUUUGCUACUCUCUAUAGUAUCGAGCCAGAAAAAAAGAAGAUAAGAGAAGCCUAUUUUUGUUUCUUUUGUAUGUAUUAAGAAAAAAAAGGUUAUUUUUUUAAUUGAGCCAAAAUGAAUAUGCAUCUUAAUUACGGUCUACUUUUUUGGGUAAUUUUAUUAUUAUGAUGAUUGUUUUUAGUAAUAUAUCUAAAUAUUUUUAUUGUUUUAUAUUAUAUUGUAAUAAGCUUAUUAACUACUUUUCAUUAAACAUUAAUAAUUUAUAAAAUAAUUUAUCAGUUAUCAAUUAGCUUACAACUACGAGCUAGUCUAACAAACUAACCUCUUUUAACAUUUUAGUCGAAAGUCAUCGAUCUAAUAGUACCUAAAACCGGUGAUAAACACUUUGGUACAUCUUUUGAUAAUGGGAAUAUAUAAAACACAUCUCUUGAUUAUGUAAAUAUAUGUAAUACGCUUUGAACAUGAAUAUCACAAUUCUGUAGAAUCAGAUGAAGGAGCUUUUGGGUUGUAAAAGUGGGGAUAUAAUGCCCCCUAGAACCUAGGGGGGUGAUAGGGUUUGCUUUAAUUGGUAUAGAAUUCAGGCCAUGGGGGGGUUUGAGUAAAAGCAUAAUCAGCAUAUGUCCAUCGCUUUCACAUCUUCCCCCACCCCACCCCACACUUCCCCCUCCCCCGUUUUCCAUGGGUUCCCUGGCAUUUAUUCCUGGCCUCUGUUUACUCAUUUCUACUUGCACUACAGGACCUUUGACUUUUCAUUUAUUACACUACAGUCCUUGUACUAUUGUAACCACAAGAUACCGUAGCUUAAUGCUGUAGCAUACCCCAUUAUCACCGUUUGUAAAUAGUGUCUGUUUUUCAUUAUUUCUGGAUAAGUUUACACUGAUACUUUUGUCGAAUGGAAUUGUUACAAAACCAAAAUAAAUGUAAAAAAUGUAUGUAUAUGUUUAUGGAAUAUAAAUAUAUAAUAUUAUUAUAUGUUUUUACGAGUUAUAUAUAAAAAACAUUGUUAAUAAGAAUGGUUCUACUUUGUAUUUUACAUAGUCAUCAUAUCGAUCAAAGAUACGAAAUUAAAACCAAAUCGCCAUAAGUAAUUGUCAUUAAUAAAACACAACAUACUAAAAUAAAUCAAUAAAAUCAUAUGAUUUACCUGUAGUUAACCCUGAAUUAAAAGACGUGUUUUUUAUUAUGCAUGUGCCUUUUAAAAUCCCUUGACAUGAAAGUUAAACAUAUUUAAAGUUUUACAUGCUUACUCUAAUAUUUUUCAGCUAUUAUAAUUCAUAAUUCAUUAUUCCAGUACUUUGUAGGUUAUUUAUUUGCUCUGCUCCACAUCAUAAAGCUUUGGUAAAGAAUUGGAACAUGCAAUGUUUUUCUUUCAUUUGACUUGGGAAAUGUAUGUUUUUCUUUAAUUUAUUUUGAUUUUGAUAUGAAUAAAGUAAUGAACCGUGUUAUAAAUCAAACACUACAUCGAAUUUUCUAAUUUUAAAACUAAAACCUGUUUCUAUUAUCAGUGAGGGUUAAUUAGAAAAGCACAACAUAAAUGGACUGAAAAGAGAUUUUUGACGUAUAACUUGCUCUUAGUUUUAUAUGAAACAUGGAAGAAAAAACAAAGGGUAGAGAGAGAUUAAAUGAAAAUAAUGAGGGGGUUAUCAUGUAAAAUAAGAGAAGAAGGACGAGUUUGGGAGGUUAAUAACCACAGUGGCCAAUUGGCCAUUCUCAGACUUUGAUGAGCGGGGCCCUUUGUCAUAUCUAAUCAAAUCCAUGGAUUCGGAAACCUAUUUUCAAAGAUAAAUUAUGGGAAAUAACAACGUCCUUUGUAUUUUAUAAAUGCAGAUAAGGUACUAAGGUAGUGUUAUUCAUGACAAAAAAAAAUAGAUAAAAUAUCCCCCGCAUCGUUUUUUUAACAGCAAUACAAACUAUAUAUUCACAUAAAAAGUUGCAAGAUGGAUAAAUUACGUAGGAAUUUUUAGCCAAUUAUUUCAAGAAACAAGUUUAGAACAUCUAAACUUAAAGUCUUAAACCAAAUAAAUAAAAAAGAAUAAUACUAUUAAAAAGUGUGGCCUUCAACAUAUUACCGGAAUCGAACACUGUGUCAUCAAUCCAAGAUAAUCAUUCUUUAAUUGAAAUAGAACUUGAAAGUGUUAAACCACAACAUAAAGAAACUGACCUUCACAAAUUAAAUGCAACUACAAUUGAAUAAAACGUGAUCUAAAGACUCAACUCCUGAAUUGAUGAGUUUUAGCCAUAAAAACAUUCUAUAUGUUUAUGUAAACCUAAUGUUUGGAUCUAGGUUUUUCUAUUGUACAUACAUUCAUCCAAAACUUUAAACCCUAGAUCUAGCAUGUGGUAAUCGAUAUUAACAUAAGAAUAUGAUUUAGAUCUUUACCUUGAUUGUUAUGUAGCAAUAACAAUCUCAAAUCCUCCUUGUAAUGGCUUCAGAAAGCUUAGAGUCACAAGUGUCACUUAUCUAAUGGCUCACAAACACCAAGAGCAAGAGGAUGAAGAAGGAAAAGAGGAGAGAUACCCAAAAACAGCUGGAAACCCUAAGGAAUUAGUAAGCCACGUUUUGGGUCUCAAGGGUUCUUUAAAUGGGUAGACAAUUAGGGUUAUCUAACAAGGAAACCCUAAUUUGACUGCUUAAGCCCUAAGCAAUUCAUGGACCCCUUCUGAACAUGCCUUGGACGAAAAUCAUAUGGGCUUCCCAUAGAUUUCGUCCAGCCUAUAUUUCAAGGUGAUCCAUAGCCCAAUUGCAAUUAUCUUAUAAUUACAAUUCCAGUCCCCUAAGUUUAAUUAACCUCGUUUAGCCACAAAAUUAAUUCUUGACUAAUAUUAAUUAAACAUUAUGAUACUCCUUUGAUAUAUUAUUCUUAUAAUAUAUUAAUAGAUCAUAGUUAAUCCUCUCUCUCCAUAAUUCAUCCUAUCAAGUUGCUUUGGUGAAGGCAACCCAAAAGGACCAUGCACCAUCGGGUCAAGUACAUACCAAAAUAGUUAUGGACUUAGACACUAAUCCAACAGUCUCCCACUUGGAUAAGUCUAAUAACUAUUAUGCGUAUGACUUCAGAUCCUGAUCUGCAAUCGUAGCUUUCCAAAGCCGCUGUCAACUCUGAUCCUAUCAGAUACGCGUGUCCUUAGAUAAGGGAUCAUAUAUUCCUCCAUUCUAGAUAUCGUAUAAGAUAUGAUUUCAAAUCAUUCUCUUUGUACUAUAUCUCGAUUCCCGAUUUAUGACGACUGACUAAUUGAACAAAUCAAAUUAGCCCUAGCCCGGCCGAGCAUUUACGUUUGUCAUCACUAAAUCAUCGAGGGGCCCAAAGAUAUCGCUUUUAUCCUACUUUGGAUAAAAGGAACGGAUAAACUUUGAUACAAUGCUUGCUUGCACUCACUCACCGAAUCACACACAACAAUAUGUUUUAUAACACCAAGUUACUAGUGCGUUUACAUAUUAUCAAUGUGCAACCGAUUCGCAAGAUACAACUCACACAUCUCGGUUUCAAGAAUAUAAGAUGUUAUCGUCUCACCAAUCACUCGUGAUACAAUUCAUGGAGUGAUCCAAGUGAGCGUGGGUUUAAUCCAAUGCUCAAAUCAUAUUCAUAAGCACUCAUGAACGUUGCAGCAAACAUUUGCUAUGUCUAAUACACUUUAGGUAAUCUACAAACCAAUUCAUGACAAUCUUCUUUCAUACCUACUCCCAAAGUAUGAGCGACUGUGGAACGUUCGAAUAAUCUUAUUAUUCAGGAAGUCAAAACAUGCAAAGUGAAACACAAGAAUAAUACUAAUCCUAUAUGGCCCCAAACUUUUGAGUAUAAAUAAAACACCUUUUAUUUAAUCACCAUAUUGAUUACUCAUUAUUUGUUGUUUUGGGUAAUCAACUUCUUACUUGAAUUAUAACAACAAUUGUCCCAUGCUCUUAGCAUGCACACUAUGUUUACCUAUGGUCCUUACUUUGUGAAAUAGUAUAAUUGAAUAACAUUUUCAAUCAUACUCAUUUCACAAUUCCUAAUCCAUUAGUGUAAGAAUACAAAAUUCUCACCACUACUAGAAUAUGUUAGAUUCUAAUGUUUUAUGCAACAGUCUUUUUCGUAAUGUCAUGGCACAAAAGUCACCAAGACCUGACCAAUGAAAUUACAAAAAUACUCUAUUAGAGAUUGUUACAAGACAAUUCCAUAGUCAUGAAGUCUCAUAUUCAAAGUACAUUCAUUUGAACAUCCUUCUUGCAUAAAAGUUUCUAAUCUAGACAUUUAUUCUCGAUAUCCAACUCCCAAUAUGGAGACAUUUCCAUAUUUUCCAUAUGGCAACUCAUUCUAAAUAGAAUCUUAUCUAUUCAUAAUAAUGUCAAUAUGGUCAAUCCAUGACUAUACUUUCAACUGUCCACAAGCGACCAAUCCUUGGCGAACCUUAGAUUGUCCUUGGCAGUUGUUUAAUAAUUUUAGUCAAAACUGGUUCUAUUUCCUUUUUCCCUCUAAAUGUCGUAGACAUUUGGAAAAUUUUAGAAUGGUCGAAUAUUACAGCAUAUGCAAUCGAUCCUAUACCCGAAACGCAUAGGAUGCAAUUCAUAAUAAAAACAAGAUACUUUACCAGUUUUUUACUAUAAUAUCGUCAUAAUAUUUCUAUUUUCCGUGUUCUCAAAAAUUCGAACUAUGAAGAGGGAUUCCGUAAUGAUAAUCGAAUUUUGAGAAUGCAAAUAAUAAAUAUACCCUUGACUUAAUUUAAUUAAAAUUUCUCGAUCUAGACUUUUAGAUUGGAAGCGAAGUAUAACAUUCUCUCCCUUAAUUAUAGCAAAAACAUCUUUUCAACCCCUGCAACUUUGCAAAGUGAAACUUUUUUUUCUAUAAUUAAUAUAGCCAACUUGGAAUACUUAAAUAAUCAUGCUCCCACUAACAUGAUGAUUAUAUCUAUUCCAGCAUAACAUUUAUGCUCCCACUAGCUUUGACACGUAUUUAGAAACCAGUUAAACUUCUAGAAAACAAUACUUAUUGACUUCCAAAGUUCAUUGUUUCUAAUACGAUAUGCUUUGAUAAGCCUUUAUCUAAGCUUCUCAACCUUAUACACCUUCCCUUGGAUAGCUUACAUGUAUGUCUAAACUAAUUCAGAACUUAUAUUACUAAGUCCCAAAUGUUCAUACUAAUUGUCAAAUCUCACAAUUCGAACUAUGAAGAGGGAUGUCGUAAUCAUAAUCGAAUUUGAGAAUGCAAUUUACAUAAUCGCUAUCUCUUCAAAAUCUCUUUUAGUGAAAGCGUUUCCUCACAAUCAUUUUCAUGAAGGACAGAAACCUUAUGACACUUAGAUUUUUAUAGUGUAUGUGUUCCUAUCCAUGUGAAUUUGCCAUAAUCAUAAUCAAAAGAUAAUGUUUAUGACAAAUUCAAACUCUUAUGGACAGAACUUGUUCAUUCUUAAUUUCUCGCCAUCAAGGGUCCCACCAUUGCUUCCAAGUUAUUUAAUAGCUCACAUAUGCCAGUCAAUGUACUUUCAUUGAACAAGGUGUUUGCCCUUAUGCAACCUAUUGAGAACUCGUACAACUCAUAUGCAUAAUUACUCAACUGGAUUGGCACAUAAAUAAAACUUUGUCAACACGAUAGGUUACAAUCCUCAAGCCGUGUGCUAGUGUUUAAUAGGUUUACUUCUUGAUUUGUUCUUGAAACUUUUCAAGAUCAUUUAGACUCCCACUGACCUCUUGACAUAUAAGAUUCUCUUAUCAAGAAACAUUUUUUCGCAAAAAAAAAAUCCAAGAGUUAGCGUGUGUCUAUAUCAAGACAAAACAUUACACACAUUUGGUUUUAGUUGGUCUUUGGCUUCUCCAAGACAUCACAAAUUACCAAUUUCAAACAUGCAAGAGUAAGAAAAACAUUUUUCUACUUCACAUUUGAUGAGUGUGUGUCACUCAAUUCACAAUCUUGGAGUACGAUUCUAAGACUUGAUUUUGGAACGAAGUAUGACUCAUCCUUUUGACUUAACCAUUUCAACAAUUUCUGAUUCCUCUUCUUAGCCAUACUAGUGCACUAAGAUGUCCUUAGAGGAUCAUUGUGAUAUGGUUCUUAAUCAUUAAGACGAUCAUAAAAUCUGAUACAAAAGUACUCUCCCUUCUUAGAUUGGAGAACCUUUUAUCUUUCUGCCUAAUUGAUUCUUCUUAUUCGUUCUGUCAUUCAUUGAAACUUUUCAAUGAUUCAGAAUUUCACUUAAUCUUGUAAGCAUAACCAUAUUUACUAGACUUUUAGUAAAUUAUGACGAAUUGUCUUAAUGUUAUUUGUGGUGGACUUGACUAGUGCACAACAUUGUGUUCUAUUCCUUUAGUCAUUUACUUGACUCACAUACUUGUGUGAUCAAGGAAUUAGUCUUAAUUUCCUAAGUACCAAGAUUUCUAUACAUCACAUGAUUCAAAUCAUAUGAUUCCAAGUUUCUAUCCAAUUGAAACUUGGAUGAUGGGAAUAUUUCCUUACUUAGAAAAUUUUGACACUAUCAUAAAUAACAUAACUAAGAAUCACAUCCACUUAUAGGAAUACACAAGAAUCAAUUUUUCACAACGAUUUCAUUGCAAGGAUAUAGACAAAUAAGACAAAUCAAAAAAUUUAUUUUAUUCAAAAAAGCAGCGGAAAACAUGUCCUUACAAUGCAAAAUCAACUGAAAAACCAUGUAAUCAAAUAUUUCUUAACAACUCUAUCAUAACUUUCUAAGAUCAAAAUCUGAUCUUCGAAUCCAUACGAUUGUGAUCCAUUUCUUCGUGAUCAGACUUAUCUUGCUCUUCCAUCAAGCUUCCUUUCUUUUCUCUGAUCUUGCAAAACAUUCAAAUGUAAUCUUAUGACAUUAUGUAUUAAGAAUCAAUGAAUAGGAACUUAAUGGAGUUAGAUAGUGGACUUUACCUGCAGUAGAGCCAAACGACUUGACUCUCCCAUCUCUUAGAUCUCUCAGGUUGCCUGGGCAGCUUCGUUUCCAAUUCCCCUUUUCUUGGCAAUAAAAGCAAAUCGACUCUUUUGGAACAGCACACGGAACUACUUCAUACUUUGCCUUUCUCUUAUGAUCAAUCUUUUCGACCAUGGCAUGCCUUUCAUUGCCAUUGCCUAUACCCAUAGAGGUCUGGAAGGCAGAUCCACCAACCAACUUUGCUUUUCCAAUGUGCCAAAUCAUCGCUGAUUCGGAAACAAUAAGCAAAUAGGUGAGAUCGAAGAGGGUCACGCCGUGGUCUAUCAUAUAGUAUUCUCUUAUGAACUCACUAUAUGAGUUAGGAAGCGACUGAAGAACCCAGUCAACAGCCAGCUCCUCACAGACAACGACUCCCAACAUUCUUAACCUAUCAAUGUGUGACUUCAUCUCUAAGACGUGUGCACACACUUACUUUCCUUCUUCAUGUUUACUUGCCAAAAGGGCUUGAGUGUGCUUGAACUUUUCAAGCCUUUAAGCUUGUGGGUUAGGGAGAACAAUAGGAGGAGGUGGAGGAAGUGAAGCAUGAUCUCUUGUUCCUAGAUCGAAUCAUGGAAUAUCAUCUUCAUGUGGAAAGCUUGUUCCAAGGGAUUUGGGAAGACCAUAGUUGUCAUACUUUGACAUCUACAAAACGGGAGAAAAAUUCAAGUUAGUUGAUUGAUUGAGUCCUUAAUAAAACUCCCAAAUGAGAUAUUAAGGCUAGGACCUAACACAAUACUCUACAACUUGGGAGAGGGAUGUCGUAACCCAAAUUGCAGAACAUUUGAAGGUAAGUGAAUGACGAUUCACUAAUUUUCCACCAUGAAAAACGAAAAAGAGAUUAAUUUUUAAAUGUAUUGAAAAACUCCUAGAUCCUUUGAGAUUCAUUGAACUUUUCAAUGACAUGUUUAAAUCUCGAUAUGCCCCUCGAUUUGUGACUAGGAUGCCAAGGAUCACAAAACAGGGUGUGAAUAACCAUGCAAACUUACAUGGUGCCCCCAAUAUUACAGUCACCUAUUCGAUGUGCCGGUUAACCACACACGCUCCAACAAACUAUGACAAACAUUGAGUCACCGUUUGAUACCUUUGCUUAGAACCAUUUAGUGUGCCGGUUAACCACACACGCUCCACUAACGUCUUCGCAAGGGUACAAAGUGUAAUUUCAUGGAACUGCAUCAUAUUCACUUUUGCCUAAAUUAACUAAGAUUAGGAAUUUUGUAAAAACAUUUAGUUAUUUUAUACUUCAUUAUACUUUUAAUGGAAAGAGUUUGCCAUAUCCUACCCAUUCGGCUAACGACCCUCCACCAAUCAAGGAAGCGGUGAGUGAGAGUGGACACCCAUUAAACGGCAAUUUUAUAGGCCAUAACCUUAUACCCACUCCCCUUAUACAUCGGCUUCAUGAAUGAGGCCUACUAACGGUAAGACUAGC
rnacentral:lncRNA from 1 species